rnacentral:rRNA from 1 species
CCUACGGGAGGCAGCAGUGAGGAAUAUUGGUCAAUGGACGAAAGUCUGAACCAGCCAAGUAGCGUGAAGGAUGAAUGCCCUAUGGGUUGUAAACUUCUUUUAUAAAGGAAUAAAACGAGGCACGUGUGCCUUUUUGCAGGUACUUUAUGAAUAAGGAUCGGCUAACUCCGUGCCAGCAGCCGCGGUAAUACGGAGGAUCCGAGCGUUAUCCGGAUUUAUUGGGUUUAAAGGGAGCGUAGAUGGGUUGUUAAGUCAGUUGUGAAAGUUUGCGGCUCAACCGUAAGAUUGCAAUUGAUACUGGCAGUCGUGAGUACAGGUGAGGUAAGCGGAAUUCGUGGUGUAGCGGUGAAAUGCUUAGAUAUCACGAAGAACCCCGAUUGCGAAGGCAGCUUACUAAACUGUGACUGACACUGAUGCUCGAAAGCGUGGGUAUCAAACAGGAUUAGAUACCCCAGUAGUC